AAAAAAAACAACAACCCACCAGCAUGCAAUAAAAGGGCUAGAGCUAGCUAGGCCUCUUCAUCCCACCCUUAUCUUCACCUCAUCCUCUCUUACCAUGGGGACUCUAGAAGUACAAAGCACCACCACCACCGCCAAUGGCAACAGUAACAGUAACGACACCACCAACGGUGCUACACUCUCUGACCCAGAAGAACCCAUCAUCGAUGUAGAAAACGACGAGGUUUCCCCCAUUGAGGAGGUCCGACUAACCGUUACCAACACCGAUGAUCCAACCCUUCCGGUAUGGACCUUUAGGAUGUGGUUCUUGGGUUUGUUAUCAUGCGGGCUUCUCUCUUUCCUCAACCAAUUCUUCUCUUACAGAACAGAGCCUCUUGUGAUCACCCAAAUCACUGUCCAAGUAGCCACACUUCCGGUCGGACAUUUCUUAGCAGCUGUGCUUCCCAAGAGCAAGUUCCGCAUCCCUGGUUUGGGGUCGAAAACGUUUUCUUUGAACCCAGGUCCGUUUAACAUGAAAGAGCACGUACUCAUCUCCAUCUUUGCAAAUGCUGGAAGUGCAUUUGGAGCUGGAUCUGCUUAUGCUGUUGGUAUUAUUACUAUUAUCAAAGCAUUCUACAAGAGGAAAAUUUCAUUCUUGGCAAGUUGGAUUCUCAUAGUCACUACCCAGGUAUUAGGAUAUGGGUGGGCAGGGCUGCUGAGGAAAUAUGUAGUGGAGCCAGCUCAAAUGUGGUGGCCUAACACUCUGGUUCAGGUCUCUCUCUUCAGACAUUUCCAGCAUUUGAUCAGCACCUGGGAAAAAAAAAUAAUGUAUUUAGAUAAUGCAAACUAGCUAAUGCAGGGCUCUGCAUGAGAAAGAUGAAAAAGAUCAACGCAUGACACGGACUAAGUUCUUCCUAAUUGCACUAAUUUGCGGUUUGUCCUGGUAUGUAGUUCCAGGAUAUCUAUUCACAACACCUACAAGCAUUUCAUGGGUCUGCCUGUGCCGAGUGUUUUCAAAGUCCGUAACAGCACUGCAAAUGGCCUUGGACUUGGGGCAUAACACUUGACUGGUCUGCUGC
rnacentral:misc_RNA from 1 species